AGAGUUUGAUCAUGGCUCAGAACGAACGCUGGCGGCGUGCCUAACACAUGCAAGUCGAACGCGAACGGAAUCUUCGGAUUCCAAGUAGAGUGGCGCACGGGUGAGUAACACGUGGAUAACCUGCCCCAAGAUCUGGGAUAACAUUUCGAAAGAAGUGCUAAUACCGGAUAAGCCCACGCUUUCUUCGGAGAAAGUGGGAAAAGAUUUAUCGUCUUGGGAUGGGUCCGCGGUCCAUUAGCUAGUUGGUGGGGUAAUGGCCUACCAAGGCUGCGAUGGAUAGCUGGUCUGAGAGGAUGAUCAGCCACACUGGAACUGAGACACGGUCCAGACUCCUACGGGAGGCAGCAGUGGGGAAUUUUGCGCAAUGGGGGAAACCCUGACGCAGCAACGCCGCGUGAAGGAUGAAGGCCUUUGGGUCGUAAACUUCUGUCAGAGGGGAAGAAAUGCCCGCAAGGGUGCUGACGGUACCCUCAAAGGAAGCACCGGCUAACUCCGUGCCAGCAGCCGCGGUAAUACGGAGGGUGCAAGCGUUGUUCGGAAUUAUUGGGCGUAAAGAGCAUGUAGGCGGCCUGUUAAGUCUGGUGUGAAAGCCCGGGGCUCAACCCCGGAAGUGCAUCGGAUACUGGCAGGCUUGAGUAUGGGAGAGGAAAGUGGAAUUCCGAGUGUAGGAGUGAAAUCCGUAGAUAUUCGGAGGAACACCAGUGGCGAAGGCGGCUUUCUGGACCAAUACUGACGCUGAGAUGCGAAAGCGUGNNNNNCAAACAGGAUUAGAUACCCUAGUAGUCC
rnacentral:rRNA from 1 species